rnacentral:lncRNA from 1 species
UGUCACAUAUCUCGAAAUACCCAAAAGGGCCAAAAAUAAGGGUUUUUAAAUUUUUUAGGUUGGUUUAGGGUUCUGUGCAAAAACUUGUAAAAUUCGUAGUUUGGUGGUCUUUAUUGGCCGAAAAAAGGAAAAAAUCGAAGCUUACUGACGAGGGGAUUUUUCAGUGCAGCAGCUUCACCGUUCCUCUCUCGCGGUCGAUGGUUUUCUUCAGUCGUCCUACACUAGAAAAAAGUCAAGAAUCCAUU